UUCAGGCAUUUAUAUUUCAGACAUUAUUUUAUGUUAUUAUCUGGGCUUCCUUCCAUCUGAAAUAUAAUAGUGGGUUUUUUUUCGUGGAUACUAAUGCAUUUCCAAGCUUGACUGGUCAUUUAGAAGUUAGAUCUAACUGAAACAAAACAUUACUAGGUAUUCCUUUUAGAGCAGAGAAAUACACUCUCUUUACAAUGUGCUUUAUAACGAUGGCUUGAGGUUUUUUUUAUAAUUUUGAAUAGAAAGUAUGAUCUUUAUAACACCCAAAUCUCCAUCAGGCACAUCAGCUUCUCUUAGAAAGGUUUUAAUGAGUUUCGUAAGCACAGAAUUUUUUAAAAUUUGUUAAGCAAGGCUGUGUUUGAGAGAACUUUAUCUGGCUUAUAACCAUGAAGAAUUAGGGUAGAAUUUUCCUCCCACGGGUAGCAUCUUGUGAGUGUAUAUGUAGGUCACUAUUUCUGAGUAAUUGCUUUAUCAAUAAGUGACAGCUCAUAUCUGAUGCAAUUGGCUGGGCAAACACUUCUCAGUGAAGUCUUUUGAGAUUUCUUUUUGCAUUUAUACCCAGAAAAUUAAAAACAAAAUAGGUUGUAUAAGAACCCAUCCUUCCUCACAAGAUACCAAAUUGUGGCAGAGAAUCCCACUUGGGGACAUCCCUGGUGGAUUGUUGGCAGAUGUGAGAACCCCAACACUUACCAUGGUAUCCUUCUUGCUGACUUCUGCCCCAGACGAGUCAUUUGCAAAUUUCAGAGGUCAUAUCAGACCUGGUUCCAAAUGGAUGGAUUCCCCAACUUCCAAAACAUGAGUUCUGCUCCCCUGGGUUAGUGUUCUGAAACCCACCAAUGGAUUCUGUGUCUACACAUCUUCCUCCAGAGCUUGCUUAGAUAUAUCAUGCAUCAGCCUUUGCAUCUGUGACUCCUUUAGCCUUUCCUAGGCCAGGAAGCACUGUGUACUUUCCAGACCAGUCAUAGGCUGUGUAGGGGCAAGGCCUGCCUUCCAACUGCCUUGCUGUCCCCCAGCAACAGGUAGUCUUGCCUUUUUUUCUUUUUUCUUUUUUCUUUUUGGUUUUCCGAGACAGGGUUUCUCUAUGGCUUUGGAGGCCGUCCUGGAAGUAGUCUUGCUUUUUUACCUUCGCUUUCAAAAUAUUGAAAUGUAUGCAAUCAACUAUGAUGUUAAUGAAACAAAAAAUGUUAAGACCCGCUUCUGUGGAUCCCUGGACUAUUUUCAGUUGCUGCUUCCCUCAAGCAAUUCCCUUAUCUACAACUGAAUGAAAAGCUGCCAUGCAUCAUUGCAAGUUCCCAUGCGUCUUCUGUGAUACCAUGAGCCUUUGUGAUUGCACAGUCAGAAUUGUUGACUGGCAUCCUGAAAUCCUCUGACUGUAUGAACCAAGGGGCAGGUUUGCCAGCAUACUUUUGAAACAAAGACAAUGGUGUUAUAGCAAUACUCAGACAGAAGAAUGGCCCCUUAGCAAGGCAGAGUAUUGCCACCAUCGAAUUUUUUUUCAUCAACUCAUCUUUAGGGAGUUCAUGCAGCUGGAAACAUCAUCAAAGUUUCUCAGAAAUUUACAUAAGAACGAAAGCAGUCUUAACUGUGCUGAGUAAUAAAAAUCUUACUUCUUGCCGAUUAGAAGGCAUUGUGCCUGUGAGUGAGAGUUUGUGUGUGCAGGUGCUUUCUUGUGGGGACUCACUCACCUGGAUGCAGUUCCUCUCUGGUGUGUUUAUGUUUUCUAAGCAGCCCUGGGUCGUUUACUGAGGGGUCAGUGUAAACUCAGACCCUACAAAAUCUGCUCCAAUCAUUGCAUAUGACUUUGCAUAGUUUGCGAAUUUGCUAAGUCUGCAAAAUGAAUAUACAAAUUCUAGUAACCCCCUUAUGAAGUGUGCCAACUAAAGCUUGGUAGUGAUUUACAUGCAGAGUGAAAACUGUCUGGAUCUGAUUAAUGAGGAGUAGCUGUGGAAUAGCACCAUUCCAGGUAUAUACACUCGAGAUCACCACUCCUCUUAGUUUUAUUGUCUGUGUUAUCCUGGGUUAACUCUUCCUUUAGCCGCCUAUUACAAAAGGGCAACACUUAUUUUAUUCGAAUCGUAAUGUUGGCUUGCACAUUUUUUUGUAUCCACAGGAUGAUGGUGGAUUUUUAAGAUCAACCCUAAAUUGAGCAGAAAAAUAAGUGUGCUAGAGAUAGGAUGAGGGGCUUGGAGCUGCUGCUCCUGGCUCAGUUGAUCGAUCGGUCAUGGGCAUACAGCCUUAGAAGGCGGGACUCCAGAGACGGAUUAGCGCUGCCCUCUUGGGUGUGUUGUGACUCCACAGUGUUGCAGGGAGCUCUACUGGGCCCGUGAAACCAGGCUCAAAAGGAUGCUUGACCCCACCAAUCAGAGGUCUCUCAAUCCGGGGAAGGGCACGAGAGUCGGGACCCUAGUGUGCACUAAAGAGUGAGUUCCGUGUCUCUUUCAUAGGUGGUGGAGUCUAAAGGCACAAGGAAGGCCAGGCAUAGUAACGAGCAAAGGGAACUUUGAUAUGGAAGGAAAUGUAGUAUGAUAUGGAUAUGGGGAAAAGGAGUUGGACGUGACUUCAGUUUGGUGUUCUUAACUCUCAAGAGUCUAAUCUUUCUUGCCAUAGGCUGCAGCAGGGAGAUUACUCAGAACAUGGCAUCCGUGUCUAUCAGGAGUCUACAGCUUCAAACCUCCAAAUACUUCUCCUAGGAGCCCCUGACCCUGAACAAGGUUGAAAGAUGUUCUGGUGCAUGGCCCUUUGUCUCCGGGGAGUAGAUGAAUCAUGGGAACAGUUUGGAAGAUUUUUUGCCCUGUGUUAUUCAAGCCUUAAAUACAAGCCAGACGAUGAGGGCCUCUCCAAGCUCUGUGGAUUCCAGAGUCAUGAAAAUCCCAGCACAUCCCAGCCAAGGGACAACUAGGAACAAUGAGAUAAUCCCCUCUCUCUGGACUCCUCUCUGUGUUCUGGUACCAGAAGACCCUGAGCCAGGCACCCUUAGUUCAACAAAGAAGAGAGAGAAAAGGAAACUUUCUUACUGGAUUUGAGGUACAACAAUUGUUCUGAAGAAAUCUGAGCUCCUUGGAGCGGAAGGACUCUACACUGUUCCUCUGGGUCAUCAGCAUAACACAGUCCGGCCUGAGCAUCAGCAUUAUGUAUAAAGACAUUCCUGUCCCUGCUCAAUAAGGAGUCAGGAUGAGUCAGGAUGCAGCCAGUGAAUUUGCUCAGGUCCUGAGAAGCGGCAGGCCUUUCUCAGACACUUGUGGCUGCUUAAAUCCAUGGUCUGUUUAGUGUUCACAGAAUUUGUGCUGGGAAAACAUCACUUCAUCUGUCCAUGUAUCUGAGGUGGAAGCAGCUUUCCUGGUUUUCCACUCCAUAACUACCUGAUGUCUCUUUUCCCAGUAUAUGUCAUUUCCUGUUUCCUCAUCGUUUGUUCUAGAUCUGCCCCCUCCCCUGGCUCCUUCAUCUCAGCCAAGGUGUCGUGCCAUAAGCUGACUAUUUUAUGAUUAUUUUAACCUGUUUCCAAACAAGCCUGAGUACACCAUUUUGAAACAAGCACACACACUGACAAGAAUAAAGAAGAAUAAAGGAGUGCUUUCCUUUAACAUA